UACGGGGGGGGCAAGCGUUGUUCGGAAUUACUGGGCGUAAAGGGUUCGUAGGUGGCUUGCUAAGUCAGACGUGAAAUCCCUCAGCUUAACUGGGGAACUGCGUCUGAUACUGGCGAGCUUGAGUGCAGGAGAGGAACGCAGAAUUCCAGGUGUAGCGGUGAAAUGCGUAGAUAUCCGGAGGAACACCGGUGGCGAAGGCGGGUCUCUGGGCAGUAACUGACGCUGAGGAGCGAAAGCGUGGGGAGCGAACAGG
rnacentral:rRNA from 1 species